GAUGAACGCUGGCGGCGUGCCUAAUACAUGCAAGUCGAGCGAACGGACGAGAAGCUUGCUUCUCUGAUGUUAGCGGCGGACGGGUGAGUAACACGUAGAUAACCUACCUAUAAGACUGGGAUAACUUCGGGAAACCGGAGCUAAUACCGGAUAAUAUUUUGAACCGCAUGGUUCAAAAGUGAAAGACGGUCUUGCUGUCACUUAUAGAUGGAUCCGCGCUGCAUUAGCUAGUUGGUAAGGUAACGGCUUACCAAGGCAACGAUGCAUAGCCGACCUGAGAGGGUGAUCGGCCACACUGGAACUGAGACACGGUCCAGACUCCUACGGGAGGCAGCAGUAGGGAAUCUUCCGCAAUGGGCGAAAGCCUGACGGAGCAACGCCGCGUGAGUGAUGAAGGUCUUCGGAUCGUAAAACUCUGUUAUUAGGGAAGAACAUAUGUGUAAGUAACUGUGCACAUCUUGACGGUACCUAAUCAGAAAGCCACGGCUAACUACGUGCCAGCAGCCGCGGUAAUACGUAGGUGGCAAGCGUUAUCCGGAAUUAUUGGGCGUAAAGCGCGCGUAGGCGGUUUUUUAAGUCUGAUGUGAAAGCCCACGGCUCAACCGUGGAGGGUCAUUGGAAACUGGAAAACUUGAGUGCAGAAGAGGAAAGUGGAAUUCCAUGUGUAGCGGUGAAAUGCGCAGAGAUAUGGAGGAACACCAGUGGCGAAGGCGACUUUCUGGUCUGUAACUGACGCUGAUGUGCGAAAGCGUGGGGAUCAAACAGGAUUAGAUACCCUGGUAGUCCACGCCGUAAACGAUGAGUGCUAAGUGUUAGGGGGUUUCCGCCCCUUAGUGCUGCAGCUAACGCAUUAAGCACUCCGCCUGGGGAGUACGACCGCAAGGUUGAAACUCAAAGGAAUUGACGGGGACCCGCACAAGCGGUGGAGCAUGUGGUUUAAUUCGAAGCAACGCGAAGAACCUUACCAAAUCUUGACAUCCUUUGACAACUCUAGAGAUAGAGCCUUCCCCUUCGGGGGACAAAGUGACAGGUGGUGCAUGGUUGUCGUCAGCUCGUGUCGUGAGAUGUUGGGUUAAGUCCCGCAACGAGCGCAACCCUUAAGCUUAGUUGCCAUCAUUAAGUUGGGCACUCUAAGUUGACUGCCGGUGACAAACCGGAGGAAGGUGGGGAUGACGUCAAAUCAUCAUGCCCCUUAUGAUUUGGGCUACACACGUGCUACAAUGGACAAUACAAAGGGCAGCGAAACCGCGAGGUCAAGCAAAUCCCAUAAAGUUGUUCUCAGUUCGGAUUGUAGUCUGCAACUCGACUACAUGAAGCUGGAAUCGCUAGUAAUCGUAGAUCAGCAUGCUACGGUGAAUACGUUCCCGGGUCU
rnacentral:rRNA from 1 species